GGUGCAUCAGUCCGACCCGCCGGGGCUGAAGCACGACGACCUCCGCCUCCUCCCCCCCCCUGGCGGGGGUCGUCCCUU
rnacentral:ncRNA from 1 species